AGCGAACGCUGGCGGCAGGCUUAACACAUGCAAGUCGAGCGGGCACUUCGGUGUCAGCGGCAGACGGGUGAGUAACACGUGGGAACGUACCCUUCGGUUCGGAAUAACGCUGGGAAACUAGCGCUAAUACCGGAUACGCCCUUUUGGGGAAAGGUUUACUGCCGAAGGAUCGGCCCGCGUCUGAUUAGCUAGUUGGUGGGGUAAUGGCCUACCAAGGCGACGAUCAGUAGCUGGUCUGAGAGGAUGAUCAGCCACACUGGGACUGAGACACGGCCCAGACUCCUACGGGAGGCAGCAGUGGGGAAUAUUGGACAAUGGGCGCAAGCCUGAUCCAGCCAUGCCGCGUGAGUGAUGAAGGCCUUAGGGUUGUAAAGCUCUUUUGCCCGGGACGAUAAUGACGGUACCGGAAGAAUAAGCCCCGGCUAACUUCGUG
rnacentral:rRNA from 1 species